rnacentral:tRNA from 1 species
GGGCUGCUGGCGCAAUUGGUAGCGCAUCGGACUUUUAAUCCGCUGGUUCCGGGUUCGAGUCCCGGGCAGCCCA